AACGAACGCUGGCGGCAGGCCUAACACAUGCAAGUCGAGCGCGCCCUUCGGGGUGAGCGGCGGACGGGUGAGUAACGCGUGGGAACGUGCCCUUUUCUACGGAAUAGCCUCGGGAAACUGAGAGUAAUACCGUAUACGCCCUUUGGGGGAAAGAUUUAUCGGAAAAGGAUCGGCCCGCGUUGGAUUAGGUAGUUGGUGGGGUAAUGGCCUACUAAGCCGACGAUCCAUAGCUGGUUUGAGAGGAUGAUCAGCCACACUGGGACUGAGACACGGCCCAGACUCCUACGGGAGGCAGCAGUGGGGAAUCUUAGACAAUGGGGGCAACCCUGAUCUAGCCAUGCCGCGUGAGUGAUGAAGGCCUUAGGGUUGUAAAGCUCUUUCAGCUGGGAAGAUAAUGACGGUACCAGCAGAAGAAGCCCCGGCUAACUCCGUG
rnacentral:rRNA from 1 species